AGUGAACGCUGGCGGUAGGCCUAACACAUGCAAGUCGAACGGCAGCACAGUAAGAGCUUGCUCUUACGGGUGGCGAGUGGCGGACGGGUGAGGAAUACAUCGGAAUCUACUUUUUCGUAGGGGAUAACGUAGGGAAACUUACGCUAAUACCGCAUACGACCUACGGGUGAAAGCAGGGGAUCUUCGGACCUUGCGCGAUUGAAUGAGCCGAUGUCGGAUUAGCUAGUUGGCGGGGUAAAGGCCCACCAAGGCGACGAUCCGUAGCUGGUCUGAGAGGAUGAUCAGCCACACUGGAACUGAGACACGGUCCAGACUCCUACGGGAGGCAGCAGUGGGGAAUAUUGGACAAAGGGCGCAAGCCUGAUCCAGCCAUACCGCGUGGGUGAAGAAGGCCUUCGGGUUGUAAAGCCCUUUUGUUGGGAAAGAAAAGCAGCAGGUUAAUACCCCGCUGUUCUGACGGUACCCAAAGAAUAAGCACCGGCUAACUUCGUG
rnacentral:rRNA from 1 species